rfam:Halomonas ilicicola DSM 19980 genome assembly, contig: EJ56DRAFT_scaffold00003.3
UGUUCCCUGGGAUGUACGCCAGUCGUUUAUAGUCCCUCGAGCCUAUGCGCAGUACCCAGGGGGCCAAUUGCUAGACAGACCCGUGUGCAUGUCCGUGCGACGGAAAGCCUGACGGUCUGUCUGCGGCCACCCACCUUGAACCAGUGGGUUCAAGGGCCAGAACGGCAGCGGCAUUCUGGGGAACUC